UACGUAGGGGGCGAGCGUUGUCCGGAUUUAUUGGGCGUAAAGAGCUCGUAGGCGGUUUGGUAAGUUGGAUGUGAAAUCUCCAGGCUCAACUUGGAGGGGUCAUUCGAUACUGCCAUGACUAGAGUUCGGUAGGGGAGUGUGGAAUUCCUGGUGGAGCGGUGAAAUGCGCAGAUAUCAGGAGGAACACCGGUGGCGAAGGCGGGUCUCUGGGCCGAAACUGACGCUGAGGAGCGAAAGCGUGGGGAGCAAACAGG
rnacentral:rRNA from 1 species